UACGUAGGGGGCAAGCGUUGUCCGGAAUCAUUGGGCGUAAAGAGCUCGUAGGCGGCUUGGCAAGUCGGAUGUGAAAACUCCAGGCUCAACCUGGAGCCGCCAUUCGAUACUGCUAUGGCUAGAGUCCGGUAGGGGAGUGUGGAAUUCCCGGUGUAGCGGUGAAAUGCGCAGAUAUCGGGAGGAACACCGAUGGCGAAGGCAGCACUCUGGGCCGGCACUG
rnacentral:rRNA from 1 species